rnacentral:rRNA from 1 species
GAUAAACGCUGGCGGCGUGCCUAAUACAUGCAAGUCGAGCGAACAGACGAGGAGCUUGCUCCUCUGAUGUUAGCGGCGGACGGGUGAGUAACACGUGGAUAACCUACCUAUAAGACUGGGAUAACUUCGGGAAACCGGAGCUAAUACCGGAUAACAUGUUGAACCGCAUGGUUCAACAGUGAAAGACGGUCUUGCUGUCACUUCUAGAUGGAUCCGCGCCGCAUUAGCUAGUUGGUAAGGUAACGGCUUACCAAGGCAACGAUGCGUAGCCGACCGGCGAGGGUGAUCGGCCACACUGGAACUGAGACACGGUCCAGACUCCUACGGGAGGCAGCAGUAGGGAAUCUUCCGCAAUGGGCGAAAGCCUGACGGAGCAACGCCGCGUGAGUGAAGAAGGUCUUCGGAUCGUAAAACUCUGUUAUUAGGGAAGAACAAAUGUGUAAGUAACUAUGCACGUCUUGACGGUACCUAAUCAGAAAGCCACGGCUAACUACGUG